rnacentral:rRNA from 1 species
GCUUAGCCCUAAACCUCAGUAGUUAAACCAACAAAACUACUCGCCAGAAUACUACAAGCAACCGCUUGAAACUCAAAGGACUUGGCGGUGCUUCACACCCUCCUAGAGGAGCCUGUCCCAUAAUCGAUAAACCCCGAUCCACCCCACCUUCUCUUGCUCAGCCUAUAUACCGCCAUCUUCAGCGAACCCUGAUAAAGGUUAACAAAGUGAGCGCAAGUGCCCCUUUUCGCAAAAACGUUAGGUCAAGGUGUAGCCUAUGAGAUGGAAAAAGAUGGGCUACAUUUUCUAUCCCAGAAGACCCACGAUAGCUCUCAUGAAACCUAAGAGUCUAAGGAGGAUUUAGCAGUAAAUUAAGAAUAGAGUGCUUAAUUGAACGAGGCCAUAAAGCACGC